GGAAGUGUGCCCGAAACCCUAAGGGCUACUUUGAUAAAGCAGACAUGGAAUUUAACACAUCCCACUUCCC
rnacentral:tRNA from 1 species